rnacentral:rRNA from 1 species
UUUUUGCAUAUCCAAAAAGCGGAGGAAAAGAAACCAACAGGGAUUGCCCUAGUAACGGCGAGUGAAGCGGCAACAGCUCAAAUUUGAAAUCUGGCCUCUUUUGGGGUCCGAGUUGUAAUUUGCAGAGGGCGCUUUGGAGUCGGCAGCGGUCCAAGUUCCUUGGAACAGGACGUCACAGAGGGUGAGAAUCCCGUACGUGGUCGCUAGCCUUCUCCGUGUAAAGCCCCUUCGACGAGUCGAGUUGUUUGGGAAUGCAGCUCUAAAUGGGAGGUAAAUUUCUUCUAAAGCUAAAUAUUGGCCAGAGACCGAUAGCGCACAAGUAGAGUGAUCGAAAGAUGAAAAGCACUUUGGAAAGAGAGUCAAAAAGCACGUGAAAUUGUUGAAAGGGAAGCGCUUGCAGCCAGACUUGCCUGUAGUUGCUCAUCCGGGCUUUUGCCCGGUGCACUCUUCUAUAGGCAGGCCAGCAUCAGUUUGGGCGGUUGGAUAAAGGUCUCUGUCAUGUACCUCUCUUCGGGGAGAACUUAUAGGGGAGACGCCAUGCAACCAGCUCAGACUGAGGUCCGCGCAUUCGCUAGGAUGCUGGCGUAUACGCCAA